rnacentral:rRNA from 1 species
UAUGAAGGGGGCUAGCGUUGCUCGGAAUUACUGGGCGUAAAGCGCGCGUAGGCGGAUAUUUAAGUCAGGGGUGAAAUCCCAGGGCUCAACCCUGGAACUGCCUUUGAUACUGGAUAUCUGGAGUUCGGGAGAGGUGAGUGGAAUUCCGAGUGUAGAGGUGAAAUUCGUAGAUAUUCGGAGGAACACCAGAAGCGAAGGCGGCUCACUGGCCCGAUACUGACGCUGAGGCGCGAAAGCGUGGGGAGCAAACAGG